rnacentral:lncRNA from 1 species
UUCUUGUCUCGUUUGUUUCAGGAAAAUUUCGUGUUUACAAAUUUGGCACGCCCAGUGGGACAAUCUCUACCUCUCAUCUCUUUCUCCGUUCAAGGAAUCCAAACACACCUCAAAGUCAAUGGCAUCAAGCAAGGGACAAGCCAUUCUCACAACCACUGAGGGAAGGAUCCUGAGCACUUCUUCCCCGAACGGACAAUCCAUU